UGUGGCGUGCGCCUGUAAUCCAGUUACUUGGAGGCUUGGGUUGGAGGACGGUGUGAGAUUGGGAGCUCUGUGGCGCUCUGUCCUAUGUCGAUCGGGCGUCCGCGCUAAGCUCGGCGUCAAUAUGGGCAUUCCAGGGGAGCCCGGAGUGGCCAGGUUGUCCAAGGAGGAACGCACCGGGCGAGGCCCGAAAGGGAGCAGCCAAAAGUUCCCACGUUGAUCAGUAGCGGGAUAGCGCCUGUGAAUAGGCGGAGCGUUGCAGCCCAGUCAAUAUCGC
rnacentral:SRP_RNA from 10 species